GGAUUACAGUCCAGAACUCAAAGUGCUUCGGUGGUUCACGUCGGAGGGGAGAGGAGACGCCCCGUCGCACACAUGGAGGAAAAAGAGAAAAAACGCUGUCUUUGGAAGUGAGGGGGAAUAAAGGAGGCCGGGAACAUGGACUCGGAAUCCCUGGACGGCUGCAUUCAGAGUACGUUAUCAGCACUCUACCCUCCAUUUGAGGCUACCGCAGCCACUGUGCUGUGCCAAGUUUUUGAUGUGGUGGAGAAGACGUACCGUGGGGAUGGACUGCACUACCUCAUAGACUUCCUGAUUCCAGCCAAGCACAUCCUGCAGUGCAUUCAGCAGGAUGCCUGUGCUCCGUACUGCGGGUUGCUGUUUCGCCAUGCGGGCUGGCCCCUGUGUAUUCAAGAGAAGAUUAUAAUCCAGCUAGCUUCCAUUGACUGGCGAAUCUUGAAGCCUGGUGACUUCUACCUGCAGGUGGUCCCCUCUCUGAAGAAGCCUCCACGAAUUGUAUUGAAAUGUUUGGCAAAAGAUAAGCAUAAUGUAGAAGAAGUGGUGAUUCCAGAAGUUUCAUAUACCUCUAUUUUCACUCUGGAAUGGUUGAGUACGUUCAAUGGAGAGCGGAUGGGCAUAGCACUGGAAAAUUGUUUACUAACCACUGAUGACAAAAUAUUUCGUGUCCCCUGGAAUAAAGUGGUUAAUCCUGAAUUUAUAAAUAAACCAAAACUAAUUGAAAACAGUAUCAUCUCUCCAGAAAUUACAGAGGAACGUUCAAUUUUGUGCCUCCCCACGGACCGUAGUGAGUGUGUUUCACCAGACCUGAGAUCUCAGUAUCUACAGGAACAAAGUGCCAGUCGAGACAACCCUGUCAUUAGCAGCACAGCUCCACAGUUAAAUGAAGCUCUGGUCAAUGGUGUCUGUACGAGUCCUGUGACUGAAGAGAACUUGGGAAGUGACCUUGAAGGGGAGUACGUUGAGCUGGCAGAAGUUUCCCUGCCCAGAUUUGGGCCACAAACAGGAUCUUUAACUCAGUCGCUGGCAUUAAGUUAUCUAACUCAGCCCAGGGCACGAGUGAAUGAGUCUAAAGGCAAGCACAGGUUUAUUGUCAUACAAGACAGCACCUACUCCAAGAACUUAAUUCAAUCAGCACUUAUGCAGAAGGAGCACUCUCAAAUGGACACUCUGAGCACUUCUACAGAAGUUCUCAAAAAUGUUACUCCAUUGGAAGGCAACCAAGUGAUGGCACAUGGAGCACUCUCCCCAGAAGGUCAGCUGAUACCAGCUGAUCCUGGAAGUAUGGCUGAUAACUUUCCUGUGGCUGAGCCUCCUUCUUGCUGCGCAGAACAUUCAUCUGCAGAGCGGGAGAUUCACAGUGAACACUCACUGGAUUGGCAAUACACAUUGUGCAGCUACAGUGAUAUGUGUACUGGAGAUGCUGUCAGCUGCAAGGCACGAGUGCCUGAUGCCACUGGAAACAUGGAGGGAGAAGGUGAUGCACCUAGUGAAAAUGCUGGUGUUGAAACAUUGGAGCAGAGCCCAGAAGUGAUUCUAGAUGCUACUGCUGCUAAAGAGGAAAUAAUGCUGGGAGUACACACAGAACCACUGACUGAGGGUCAGAAAGGGGUGACACUGAUGGAUGCUUCUUCUGUAUCUGUCCUAGGGCCUUUGGGGCCAUGUUGCACACUAAAGGAAGCUUCUGAUGUCUCUUGCCAGGGUGUCAGUGGAAGUGUUGAGCCAGUUCAGGUCUCUACAUUGCCUGAGAAUUCAGAUGAAGGUGAGGAGGGAGACUCUCCUUCAGGGACCAUGACAGAUGUAAGCGCUUGCUGCAGCAAUAUUGAAGUAAAUAUCAGUUCUCCAUUAAGUCCUCCAGAAGAGAGCCAAGGAGAUGAAUUUGAGGUGGGAAGAAGGGACAGCCAAGAGGAAGAGUCUAAAGAAAUGUUGAAUGUAAGUGAAAAUCAGACCAGUCAUAGCCAGUGUUCUGUGCAAGCUCCAGUGGAUGGAACCUUGUUAGAUGGUGAAGAGCAAGAGCAUAAAAAGGCUGAAGAAGCCAUACCACUCACAACUGCCCAAUCAGCUGAGGAGAAUCAGAUGGCAGAACAAUUAAAUAACAGUGACCUGUUGGCUCCCAGUGCACAAGAAGAAGACUCAAGUCUGUUCCAAACCCAGAGGUCUGGAGGGAGGUUUGAGGAACCACAAAGACUGGAAAACCAUGGCUGUGAAAGUGAAGAGAACUCUGUGCUGAACCUGGAGCAUGUUGCAAUGCAGGACUUGCAGGGACAGGUAGAGAACCAGGAAAGUUGUUCUUGCAGGGAAAGGUUGAAGAUUACAGCCUCGAAAACACUGGAAUCCAUUCAAGAGGAAUUGGAGGGUGGACCACUGUCCUCAGGACCUGCUGAGGGGCAUACAGAGCCUACCACUCUGGACUCCCAGCCAGAGGUGUUGUCUGGGGCAUCACCUCCUAAAGGGGUGAUGUCAGAAGAGACAGAGACGAGAAAAGAGACAACUGGCACAGGUGUGUUGAAACCAGUAAGUGAAAGCAGUGCCCUGGAGGAAACUUCACCUCCUGUUACUCCCCCAACAUCCCCAACUUCUGGAGCUGCCUGGGGUGGUCAGUUUGCACCUACCAUAGUCAAGGAUGUGAACCCAGAAGUGCUCAGGAGUGGAGUUGCCUGCCUGCCUGGUACAAGAGACAAAUGGGGACGUGCAGUGGCCAUAAUAACGACGAGGAACACAGUCUGGUUAAACCCCCACUGCAAUACCACUGAGCUUGUACGCCUUCUUCUGUACUUGCACAGCAUCCCAAGACCAGAAUGUCAGGCUUUGGGUCUGACUGUUCUUGUGGAUGCUCGUCGCUGUUCGCCCGUUCCUGCUCUCUUCAAGGCAUUCAGCACACUGCAGGAGAUGGAUCCUCACUGUAUUCAUGGAGUCUUGCUUCUGGUUGAAAAAGAUCUGACUUUUCGGAUGGAGAAGCCACCAGCAGGACAGUUUGAAGUUCUCACCUCCAUGAAAUCCCUCCAUAAGCACAUAGACAGCUCACAGCUGCCUCUGGAACUGGAAGGGACCUUCCCUUACUGCCACCAGAACUGGCUAAGCUUCCGCAGGAAGCUGGAAUACUUGCUACAACAAUGCCAGGGUGUUUGUGCCUUCCUUCAGGGAGCUAUUAAUAAAGUGGAAUCCACAAAAUUACCAGGAAAGGCUGAGGAUGCAGCUGUGUUGCUGAGGAAUUCAAGGCAGUUGAUGAAGAAUGUUCUUGAAGAUGCAAGUUUGGUCAAGGUGCAGCAGGAGGGUGGAGCGCUCCUCGCCAGACUGGGGAAGGAGGAGUCCUCUGUUACCCUUACCCAAGACUACAGAGAUGCACUCGACGCUGCCAGCGUGCUUUAUAAUCAAGUUGAUGAGGGCGUUCACCGCCUGGUGAUGCUGUCAAACAAGCGCAUCCAGGAACUGGAGCUGGUGAUGGAGUUCGAGAAGGUGGAAGAGUGUCUUAAGGAGGUCAGCAGUUGGAUUGAGAAUGUUGGCAGAAAACGGCUAAAGGAAGCUGUCAACCUGGAUGAUUCUUUGGAGAUGCUGCUUCAAGCACAAAAGCAGUUCAAGGAGUUUGAUCUUGUUGCCAGUGAAUAUUGCAAAAGGGGACAGGAAGCAUUAAAGAAGAUGACUCAAUGGGAGGACUUUUCCUUUGUGGAUGUACAUUCUUACAGGGUAAAGCUGCAGACCUACAAAGAUGAGCUGGAGGAGUUCUGCACCCAGCUGGAUGAAACAAGGCACCGAGUCUGUGAAACAGUCAGGCUGUUUGAAUUCUUUGACAAGGCGUACGAGUGGGCCUUGGAAGGGAUGCGACACCUUGCCUGUAUCAGCAUGGAGGACUGCAGCUCCGCCGAGCACUGUGCAGAUGUGAUCAAGUCCCUUGAGAGUUACAAGAGGCAGCACCCGGACAUCAGUGCUGCCCGCUUCCAGGAGAUGAAGGAGCUGGCCUGUCGCCUGAAGAGUGACAAGGGGCUCAAGCAGUGGAAAUUUGCAUGGUCUAAAUGCCAGGAAACCAAGCUGGUUUUUGAAAAGAAACUCGAAGCAGCCUUGAGAACAAGGAAGUCUCUGCUAUCAGAGUGCAGCCCAGCUGUUGGGGAGCAGCCCCAGGCUGGCAGUGAGACUGGUACUCUGUCCCACCGGAGGCACUCUGAGGGGGCCACCUCCAGGUCCCACUGGGACAGGACUCAGAGCACAUCUCAUGGCUACAACAGAACCAACAGCUGUCUGGAGUGGACUAGGGAGAAAGCUCCCUCGCCCUCCCUGAGCUGCCCUGGUGAUGUUGAUGCUGGGGAAGUAUUUGUCUGCCAAGCUGCUCUCAGCCCUGGUCCUCCCUCAAGCAGAAUUUCUUUCACCAGCAGGGCUUGUAAGUCUCCAACGCUGCCUGAAGAAAAACCAAACCUGGAGAGCAUUUUAGAAACCCCAGAGGUGAAGCAGUCUCCUACAUCCACUCCAGUCCCUGGGAAGCUGCCUCCCAGGAAGGUCCUCCGGAAGGCUCAAAGCUUUGACCUGCCUUACGGUGAGAGCCUGUGGUCCAGCUGCCAGAGGAGCGAGCCGGCCAGAUACGGCAACACCGGCGUCUUCAUUAAGGGGCUGGAGGUGAGCAGCACUGAGCUGGUGGACAGGACGUUCGCUCUGCGGCAGCCAGCUGUGAGCAACUGGGCGGCAGACUGCCUGCUGGAGGGACAGAGGGGCUGCCUCUCCGGGUCAGAAGCCAAGAGCUGGGGCAGCAAACUGCGGCACAUCAUCGAUGAGAUGGUAACCACGGAGCAGGAAUACGUGCGGUCACUGCGCUACAUCAUCAACAGCUACUUCCCUGAGAUGGAGCGCCUCGACCUCCCCCAGGACCUGCGUGGGAAGCGCAGUGUCAUUUUUGGAAACCUGGAGAAACUCUAUGACUUCCACAGCCAAUACUUCCUUCGAGAGCUUGAGAGCUGCUGCAACCACCCACUGAGGGUCAGCCACUGCUUCCUGCGACACAAAGACCAGUUUGGAAUGUAUGCGCUGUAUAGCAAGAACAAGCCGAAGUCAGACUCGCUGCUGGCCAGCCAUGGGAAUACCUUCUUCAAGUUCAAGCAGGUGCAGCUGGGGGAUAAGAUGGAUCUGGCCUCCUACCUGCUGAAGCCCAUCCAGCGGAUGAGCAAAUAUGCCCUGCUCCUGAAGGACCUGAUCAAGGAGUGCAGCGAGGCACAAGAGCAGGAGCUGGUCUACCUCCGUGCUGCUGAGGAGAUGGUGAAGUUUCAGCUCCGGCAUGGAAAUGACCUGCUGGCCAUGGAUGCCAUCCGUGACUGUGAUGUAAACCUGAAGGAGCAGGGGCAGCUGGUGCGGCAGGACGAGUUCACCAUCUGGCUGGGCCGCAGGAAGUGCCAGCGACACGUCUUCCUCUUUGAGGACCUCAUCCUCUUCAGCAAGCCCAAGAGGAUUGAGGGUGGCUUUGAUGUGUAUAUCUACAAGCGCUCCUUCAAGACUGCAGACAUUGGUCUGACGGAGAACUGUGGGGACAGCGGCCUGCGCUUUGAGAUCUGGUUCCGAAGACGGAAGUCCAGUGACACCUACAUCCUCCAGGCCAGCUCAGCUGAGACUAAGCAGGCCUGGACCAGGGACAUUACCAAUAUCCUGUGGCAGCAGGCAGCCCGCAAUAAAGGUGUGAUUCCUUCCUGGAAUUCCUUCUGUGCCGCAAAAGAAAUCCGUAUGCAGGAGAUGGUCUCCAUGGGUGUGGGUAACAAGCCAUUCCUGGAUAUCAAACCCAGUGAGGCAGCUAUUAAUGACCGUGCUAUCGACUACAUCAUGAAAGGCAGAGGUGCCAGGACCAGAGCCUCAAUUGCAGUGUCUCUGUUUGACCAUUCCAACCCCUUCAAGAGGACACAGACGCAGCUCUCCACCAGCAGCACCCCCACUGCCUAUUCCCCUUCCUCCUCCUCCUCCCUGCUGGGGCCCCUCAACCUCCACAUGUACCUGGACCAGGCUCUGCUGCCAGGGGUCCUGGCCCCCAGACGCCCCUUGGACAUCGGCACUUGCAUCGAGGAAGAUGAGCUGGAGCACGAGACGAGCAGCCAGCCCUCAAUGACAACAGAGAGCUCAGAGUCGUCGCACUGCAUGUCAGCCACUGGCUCCAGCGGCUCCGACAGUGGCUGUGUCUCCAACGUCCCACAAGAAAGCUUCUGUGAAGACAUGGGCUCGCCCCCUUACAUGCCCGUAGGCCCACAGCACAGCUCUGCCAUGGAGGGCAGACCCAGGUUCACAAACAGCCAGUACAUUUCUGCAGUAAGUGCAAGCAGCCAAAACACUCUCUUCACUUUGCCUGCUCCUGUAACUGCCUCCCCAGUUCAAGCCGCUGCCUCUCACAGGGGGACCGAAGAUGCUGCUUUUGGGCUUGGGGUGACUGUGGGGAAGUGACGUUUCCUCUUGCAGAGACCCUCAUCCUCUGGGGUGGGCAAGAGCCCUCUGGUGCAGGAGCCACCCCUGCGGUGGCCAGGACCCCUGAGGAGAUGAGCUGGAAAGGACCUGCAGUGCUGGAGGCUGCACAAGGAAGAGAUGUUGCACAAAGAGGAGCUAUAAUGCUGCCGUGGGCUGGGGUACAUAUAUAACCUCCUGGAAUGGCUGGAGCUCUGCUGCACAUGUUGCCAAGCUCCUUUCUUGGGAGGUUUGGGCCUUUUUUGGGGAAUGAUGAGAGGGAGUAGUGGGAGCCUGUUGCUCUGAAAUGUCAGUGUGUUCCUGAGAGUUCUCAGCUGCUUCCCUUCCCACUAGAUCGUGUCCUGAUGCUGUUGUCCUCUAACCCCGUACUAACACUGGCUUCUCUCUUCUGCAGAAAGCAGGCCAGGUCACCAUAAGUCCCUCAAGAAUAGUGUGAGCCCCUCGGCCCCGCCUCAGGAAGUGGAGUUGUUGUUUGAUUGCCAUUUCAAACUCACUGAAGACCCCAGGCCUCUGACCAGCAGAAGGACACAGUCUCCAUCCGUGAAGAUAUUUUUUGCCCGUUAUCAGGCUUUUUCAAACAGCCCAAAACCUGACCUCUGCCUGAGGCGAAGUCCCAGGAAGGCUUCUGUCAACUAAAUGUAAUAGCUUUGGUGUUGGAUGGGACCUUGGGCAUUUAGAACUUAUUAGCCCUAUAUUUAUAAGUAGCAUAGCAGUUUGGGAAAAAAAAAGUAUUAUUUUUAAAGCUAUGAGUUGUACAGAUUUUUAUUACAAGUGACUCUGUUACUAUUUGUUGUGUAAGCUGCACAUUUUAUAAAGUUUUUGGAAGGACAUGAAGAGAAAUUGAGGUAUUUAAAAAAAGUAGUCUAACUUUCUGUUUCAGGGUUAUAGUGGCCUGAAGCUCAAGAUUUAAUGUCCUUCCUUAUGUUCUAAAUAUGUCUAUCGUAGCAAUAAUUUAUUUCCUUGGCUUAAUACUUUCAUCCUAAUAAAAGCAAUUUCAUUGUUACGAAUUGUUUCUUCAGAUGGUUCUUCCAGUGCCUUGGUGCUGAGCUCAUCUCUCUCAUAACCAUCUGUCAGCUUUGCCACUCUGCUGUGCCACCUCUGCUCUGAGUGCCAGCUCCACCUGUAAAUCCUCAGUGCAUUCACCAGAGAAGGGGGAGAUGCCCAGGCAGAGACUCCCCUGAUGCCAGUGGGGAGGCUGACCCAGAGAGGGGCUUUGGAGCAGCCAGCAGUAGGGGUGAGGAAGAGGGAGCUGUCUGGUGGAGCUCCGGAGGCACCAAAGUUCCUGGCUCUAAUUUUAGCCACUCGCCCCCUGUAGCUGCUGUCCCAGUGCAAGUUUCUCUCUCGCCCUGCUGGCUCCGGUUUCAGUGGCUUAGUUCAGGCUCCAUUGUGCUUUGUCCUGGCUGUGCCCCUGGUUUUGGACUGACAGGGACUGGCUCCUUGCUUCAUCUCUGACUCAGCCCCUCUUCUGGUACUUCAGUCCCACUGUUGUGGCUUGUUUGAGGAGCUUUGGUUGUGCUGGCAUUCGAGACCAACAGGUUUUGAGUGUAAUGGGUUGAUCAUAAUGCUGAACCUUAAGUGCACGUUGUUUGAAGUAACAGCAUAACUGGAGGACAAACAAACCCUGUGUUCCAAGGUGGCUUUUUCAUGAGGAACUUCCAAGGUUACUGUGUGGCUGUGACACCCUCCCUCUGUUCUCGGACAAAAUGAAAAUUAGCAUUUCUGCAAACAGUGGUUACUUGGCUGCCAAGCUCCUGUUUACUCCUGGUUUAUGCAGAGCUGUAAAUCAGGCUCCUGCAGGUGUGAGAGAAGUGCUACAUUUGGCCUGAGGAAGAAGAUGGAGUAGUAAUUUAUAUAACUGCAGUUUUUUCCCCUUGGCAGACUGGGGUGUUACAUCCCACAGCCACCCUGGAGACAGUGUUCCUUAAAGUUUGGAAAUUCCUGUACUGUAUGUAAAACACUUGUUUAUUUUUAAUAAGCUGGAUGUUUUUAAACCUUGUUCUUUUUUCAGACAGCAAAGAAAAUACGUUUGACACCUUUGUACAAAAUUGCGUGGGAAACAGUUAUACAGGGAAUAUUUUACAAGUUGCUAUUUUGAGAUAAUUGCUGGGUUAGUGCAAGGUUUCUGGACUGUCAAGACAGCAAUAGCUCAUGUCACAAGAGGGAGAGGAGUUACUAAUGCAACAAGAGGAACAUGAAACGUCUGGAAUUUCUCAGUUUCAAAGGUUUCUAAAUUGCUGGAAAAACCUUUAGCAUUGUUUACCUGACACUCUUUUUUCAGGGUUUGAUUGAUUUGUCUAAUAAAGGUUAUUUUCUUUAUAUGAA